UAGGGAAUCUUCCGCAAUGGGCGAAAGCCUGACGGAGCAACGCCGCGUGAGUGAUGAAGGUCUUCGGAUCGUAAAACUCUGUUGUUAAGGAAGAACGAGUGUGAGAAUGGAAAGUUCAUACUGUGACGGUACUUAACCAGAAAGGGACGGCUAACUACGUGCCAGCAGCCGCGGUAAUACGUAGGUCCCGAGCGUUGUCCGGAUUUAUUGGGCGUAAAGCGAGCGCAGGCGGUUAGAUAAGUCUGAAGUUAAAGGCAGUGGCUCAACCAUUGUAGGCUUUGGAAGCUGUUUAACUUGAGUGCAGAAGGGGAGCGUGGAAUUCCAUGUGUAGCGGUGAAAUGCGUAGAUAUAUGGAGGAACACCGGUGGCGAAGGCGGCUCUCUGGUCUGUAACUGACGCUGAGGCUCGAAAGCGUGGGGAGCGAACAGG
rnacentral:rRNA from 1 species